AACUGUGGCAACAGUAGAUACAACCGGAACCGAUCAUGUAACACGUAAUUCGGUACAGUGUAUCAUUACUCUCGUCAAGGCUUCAUUCGAGUUGUAGCAACCCAUUUGUUGGUGACGGUCAAGAUCUAAAUCUGUGCAAUGAAUUGCAUCUUUGCUAAGCGUAUUUUGCGAACAAACAUGAGAUAAGACAGUAGUGAAAGAGAAGCGGAGUGAGCGAAGACGAAAUAAUGCUCAGAUCUUUGAUAACAUUUGGUUUGGGCGUGUACACCGGUUUGUACAUAAGUCAAAAUUACGAGUUCUGUUCAUCAUGUCGAAGAAACAGUAUUUCAACAUUGAGCGAGAUGCAGAUGCCAUUUUAGAGAUGCUGAAUGGAGAGGUGUCAGAUUUCGAUUUAUCAUCAGGUGAAGAAUCAGUUCCUGAUGUAGAAUCCUACUGUACUUAAAGAGAGAAGGAAGUGAGAGUGGGGGCUGACAAAAUAAACAGCGGAGAAACCAAUGAUGAGUCAACUGCAAAUAAUGGAAGUGGUGUGUGCAGUGACAGUGAUAACAACAAUAGUGAUAUUCAAGACAGUGAUCCACUUACCAACAAUGAGCUCAGUGAUGUAAAAUACAUUUUGUCAGGAAAAAAGGACAUCAAGUGGUGUCAUCGUCCUCUCUCUCUAUACUGGAUUCAUAUUACGAAUGGGAACAAUGUAUUAAAGAACAGGAAAUACUUUCUCCUUCAAAUUAUUUCAGCAAGUACAUUACCAAUGAUCUGUUCAGUACUAUGGCUGAUAUGACAAACCUAUAUGCCUUGCAGAGUGGAACAAUUAGACCAGCAGAACUCCAAAUCUUGUUUGGGCUUCAUAAAAUUAUUGGAACUCUAAAAUUUCCUAGAGUCCGAAUGUAUUGGGACACAACAUUGAAAAUGCAACUAUUCUUGGACAGUAUGCCCAGAAAUAGAUUCUUCCAACUCGGAACAAAUUUACAUCUUGUUAACAACAUGGCUAUACCAGCAGACAAUCAAUAAAUAAAUAAAGUUCAGCCUAUAUGUACUGCCAUCUGUAACAGAUGUCUGGAGUUAUCUGUGGAGGAAGAGCUUGCUGUUGAUGAGGCAAUGAUCCCAUUCACAGGGAAGCUGUCAGUAGAACAGUAUGUGAAGGGAAAACCUUCUCCGUGGGGUAUCAAAAUGUACAUGUUAUGUGGUAAGAGUGGACAAGCCUAUGAUUUUAUUCUUUAUCAGGGAGCAUCGACUGUUGAAGGAAUUUGGCCAAGGUCCAACAAUUAGCCCAGAGAAUAAAAAACCAAAUGGGGCAUAAGAUAUGUUUUGACAAUUUCUUUUCUUCAUACAACCUUUUCCAAGCGUAGAAAUGAGAAAAAAUUUGUGCUUCUGGAACUGUCCGAGUUAAUCGUUUUGCAAAUCCUCCUCUAAUACCAGAUAAGGAGGCAAUGAAGGAGGAAAGAGGAUUUUCAGAAGAAAUUUGUAGUGCAGAUGACAUAACACUGGUAAAAUGGGUUGACAACAAAACAGUUGCUCUAGGCUCUAAUUUUAUUGGAAAAGAAGAAAUUGACAAAGUUGAACACUGGGACAAAAAAGAAAGUAAAUACGUUACUAUUGAUCAACCAGAGAUUGUAAAAUGCUACAACCAUGGCAUGGGCGGAGUUGAUCUUUUUGAUCAAUUGAUGUCAUACUACAGAAUUUUUAUAAAGUCAAAGAAAUGGAUGCUCAGAACUAUUUUCCAUGCUGUAGAUUUUGCUGUGGUACAGAGCUGGCUCGAAUACAGGAAAAUGCCAAAGCAGUUGGUCUACAAACGAAGAAAAUAAUGGAUCUCCUACACUUCUGUAUGAAGCUGGCUGAUGUUCUAGUGUUAAGUGGGAUGGAUACCUUGAAUAGAAAAUGAGGCCGACCAUCUGCCACACCUCCAGAUACACCUGUUCAAAGACGACGAGGAGAAACUAGGCCUCCUGAAGAGAUUCAGUAUGAUGGAACACAACACUUGCCUCUUCAUGAAAGUGGUGCCCUGCCUACCAGGUGCAAAUUUCCGGGAUGCAAGGGACGUUCAAGAAUAAAAUGUGAAAAAUGUAAUGUACAUCUUUGUUUGUCAAAGGAAAAAAAACUGUUUCCUUUCAUUUCAUGUCAAUUAGAACCACAUAAUGAACAUAAUUCCUGACUCAUUUCAUUUUUAAUUAAAACUAUGGUGAAUUUUGCAUGUAUUUUGUGUG